GAUGAACGCUAGCUACAGGCUUAACACAUGCAAGUCGAGGGGCAGCAUGGUCUUAGCUUGCUAAGGCCGAUGGCGACCGGCGCACGGGUGAGUAACACGUAUCCAACCUGCCGUCUACUCUUGGACAGCCUUCUGAAAGGAAGAUUAAUACAAGAUGGCAUCAUGAGUCCGCAUGUUCACAUGAUUAAAGGUAUUCCGGUAGACGAUGGGGAUGCGUUCCAUUAGAUAGUAGGCGGGGUAACGGCCCACCUAGUCUUCGAUGGAUAGGGGUUCUGAGAGGAAGGUCCCCCACAUUGGAACUGAGACACGGUCCAAACUCCUACGGGAGGCAGCAGUGAGGAAUAUUGGUCAAUGGGCGAGAGCCUGAACCAGCCAAGUAGCGUGAAGGAUGACUGCCCUAUGGGUUGUAAACUUCUUUUAUAAAGGAAUAAAGUCGGGUAUGGGUACCCGUUUGCAUGUACUUUAUGAAUAAGGAUCGGCUAACUCCGUG
rnacentral:rRNA from 1 species